rnacentral:lncRNA from 1 species
UUUACGAAGACCUAGAUAAUAUUGAAACUGAAGAGGGACACAUGAUCAAAGAUUACAUCGUGGGGGUAGAUAUUACUUGGAUGAACAUAGGGGGAAAGAUGAUGAAAGGGUAUGAACUUGGUAAGGGUUUGGGAGCAAAAUUGUAAGGAAUCAUCGAACCUAUACAACCAAAGUUCAAGAAGGACACCUUUGGCCUGGGGUACGAAUACACUCCGGAAGAGUACCUCAACUGGGAGUCACCUUUAGGCCGCUGCUUCCCUCUACCAAAUCCAUUGCCUACACUAUGUAAGAUCUUUUGUUCAGCUGGUUUUUUGGAAAAUUUGGAAGAAGACAUCUAUUUUGCGGAGAAAUUUUGACUUUUGAAGAGAGUGAGUCGCCACUUUGAAAAGGAAUUAAAAAACCUUUAGAGAGUUACUUAAAACGGUUCAAAAUAGGAAAAUCAUUUUAAGUUAGAGAUUCCGAGUAAGUGGUUCCUAUUAACAUUUUAGGAAGAUGUUAGACACCUAAAACUUCUGCUAACUUGCGGUUGACUGUUUGAAAACGUCUUUGAUUAACUUUGAGAAGUUGAUUUUUUUUUUGAAAAGAAACCGGUUUUAGAAAUAUUUUUUGUGUUUAUACAAAACCAGUUUUUUAGCGACUGAACUAAGAAUUUAACUAGGUUCGCAAAACACAUAAGGAAAACAAGCAUAAAGAAGAGGGGAAGGAGAGGAAGUGAGGGAUUUAGGCCAUUGGCCCAAACCAAGAAAAUCUGUCCUAGUCUAAUUGGGCCUUUGACCCGUUUCACCUGUCCUAAUCUAGUUUUCAAGCCUUUGGAUCGAGUCUUGCUCCACCUAUAUUAAAUUUACAACUUCUGGCUUCGAAGCUGUAACACCCCACAUUUUACAUGUACUAGUAAUAUUCACAUAAAAUGACAUACGACUUGAUUUAAUUACUACCAAAAUUUGUCAAGUGUUCAAGUAUUAGAUUGGGGCACUAUAUGGAAGUCUAUUUAGAGACUGUGGCCUUAAACGGAAGAAAAAAAAAAACAAUGGAUUGGGAAUAUUGAAGAAGACAUCAUAAGCUGCAUGCAACUUGAGAGACCCUUGAACGCUUGGAGUUACAUGCGUUGGUUUGGUUAUGAAGAGUACAGAGGCCUUGGCGCCAGAUUGCAAGGAAUAAUUGAUCCUCUGGUAGUUGACGAAAAGGAACACGAUUGCGGGCUAGGCUAUGAAGGCAAAAACACGUCUGACCCUGCAUUGUCACUAUACCAAAUCUUCAUUUCUAUAGGAUUUCGUGAAAAUGACGACAUUAUUAAAAUAACGGAGAUGAUUAAAAGGCUCACCCUGACCAAGGACAUCAUCUUCUUUUACGAAGACCUAGAUAAUAUUGAAACUGAAGAGGGACACAUGAUCAAAGAUUACAUCGUGGGGGUAGAUAUUACUUGGAUGAACAUAGGGGGAAAGAUGAUGAAAGGGUAUGAACUUGGUAAGGGUUUGGGAGCAAAAUUGUAAGGAAUCAUCGAACCUAUACAACCAAAGUUCAAGAAGGACACCUUUGGCCUGGGGUACG